GGAGAACUAUGUUCUGAUGGCCUGGACAGGAGCAUCUUAUGGACGAAAGCUAGGGAAGAUAAAAGCGGGGUCAUUCCACAUGAUGCUACUAGAAAAAGAGCCGAGACUAUUGACAAGUUGACUGAACAUUUGAACUUUGUCAAACUAUUCAGAGACUAGCUUGCAUAGAAGAACAAUUAGCUCUUGUGCUUCAAACACGGGGUGGAUCUGGACCAACUUUCCACCGUGCAAGUACAAAAUCAAGCUCAAAGAGCGAGAGGAUUUUGCGCCUAGAAGCUAUACUUGCACAGUAAUGCCUACACAUGUUGCCAAUAUGGAC